ACGCACUGUCUUUGAACCGGUGAGUUGCCCUUUGCCGUGGCGUCACUGGCCAGGCAUCAGUGCCAGAGUAAACCGCAUGUUCAUAACUGGUGCUUCUUGGCAAACCUCCUGGGUCGCACUUUUAAAAACAUGCAACACUU
rnacentral:snoRNA from 1 species